UACGAGGGGGCGAGCGUUGUUCGGAAUUAUUGGGCGUAAAGGGUGCGUAGGCGGGUUUUAAGUCAGAGGUGAAAUCCUGGAGCUCAACUCCAGAACUGCCUUUGAUACUGAAAGUCUUGAGUAUGGGAGAGGUGAGUGGAACUGCGAGUGUAGAGGUGAAAUUCGUAGAUAUUCGCAAGAACACCAGUGGCGAAGGCGGCUCACUGGCCCAUUACUGACGCUGAGGCACGAAAGCGUGGGGAGCAAACA
rnacentral:rRNA from 1 species